AUUGAACGCUGGCGGCAGGCCUAACACAUGCAAGUCGAACGGUAACAGGAAGAAGCUUGCUUCUUUGCUGACGAGUGGCGGACGGGUGAAUAAUGUCUGGGAAACUGCCUGAUGGAGGGGGAUAACUACUGGAAACGGUAGCUAAUACCGCAUAACGUCGCAAGACCAAAGAGGGGGACCUUCGGGCCUCUUGCCAUCGGAUGUGCCCAGAUGGGAUUAGCUAGUAGGUGGGGUAACGGCUCACCUAGGCGACGAUCCCUAGCUGGUCUGAGAGGAUGACCAGCCACACUGGAACUGAGACACGGUCCAGACUCCUACGGGAGGCAGCAGUGGGGAAUAUUGCACAAUGGGCGCAAGCCUGAUGCAGCCAUGCCGCGUGUAUGAAGAAGGCCUUCGGGUUGUAAAGUACUUUCAGCGGGGAGGAGGGGAGUAAAGUUAAUACCUUUGCUCAUUGACGUUACCCGCAGAAGAAGCACCGGCUAACUCCGUG
rnacentral:rRNA from 1 species